rnacentral:misc_RNA from 1 species
GUGAAUCAUCGAAUUUUUGAACGCAAAUUGCACUCUCCUCGGAGAGUAUGCCUGUUUGAGGGUCAGCCUAUAAAAAAUCGACAUCGUUGCUGUUUCGCGGUGGCGUUCGUCGGAAAUUGGGUCAUCUUAAUUCUUUUGGUUUUAACCUCUUUAAAAUUUCUUUUGGUUUCCUUAACCUUUCUUAGGUCCUAUUCCUUACACCUUUUAGGGAUU